GACGAACGCUGGCGGCGUGCCUAAUACAUGCAAGUAGAACGCUGAAGAGAGGAGCUUGCUCUUCUUGGAUGAGUUGCGAACGGGUGAGUAACGCGUAGGUAACCUGCCUUGUAGCGGGGGAUAACUAUUGGAAACGAUAGCUAAUACCGCAUAACAAUGGAUGACACAUGUCAUUUAUUUGAAAGGGGCAAUUGCUCCACUACAAGAUGGACCUGCGUUGUAUUAGCUAGUAGGUGAGGUAAUGGCUCACCUAGGCGACGAUACAUAGCCGACCUGAGAGGGUGCUCGGCCACACUGGGACUGGGACACGGCCCAGACUCCUACGGGAGGCAGCAGUAGGGAAUCUUCGGCAAUGGGGGCAACCCUGACCGAGCAACGCCGCGUGAGUGAAGAAGGUUUUCGGAUCGUAAAGCUCUGUUGUAAGUCAAGAACGGGUGUGAGAGUGGAAAGUUCACACUGUGACGGUAGCUUACCAGAAAGGGACGGCUAACUACGUG
rnacentral:rRNA from 1 species